rnacentral:rRNA from 1 species
UUGAGGUUCCCAGAAGACGACUGGGUUGAUAGGCCGGAACUGGAAGCACAGCAAUGUGUGGAGGCGACCGGUACUAAUACACCAAACAAACCAACA